UUGUAAUGUAAUGCCUACAAUGUUAAUGCAUCGAAUCCCACUACAACUCCGUGUUUAAGCGCACUUGGGCCAGAGUAUUAUUGGGAUAGGUGACCUCCCAUGAAGUCCUAGUGUUUUACAUG
rnacentral:rRNA from 1 species